AUUGAACGCUAGCGGGAUGCCUUACACAUGCAAGUCGAACGGAGUGGCGAACGGGUGAGUAAUGUAUCGGAACGUGCCCAGUAGCGGGGGAUAACUACGCGAAAGCGUAGCUAAUACCGCCUACUAUUGGAGCGGCCGAUACCGGCUUAGGUAGUUGGUGGGGUAACGGAUAACCACGGCGACGACCCGCAGCUGGUUUGAGAGGACGACCAGCAACACUGGGACUGAGACACGGCCCAGACUCCUACGGGAGGCAGCAGAGGGAAAUUUUGGACAAUGGGGGAAACCCUGAUCCAGCCAUCCCGCGUGUGCGAUGAAGGCCUUAGGGUUGUAAAGCACUUUUGGCAGGAGAGCGGUACCUGCAGAAUAAACACCGGCUAACUACGUGCCAGCAGCCGCGGUAAUAC
rnacentral:rRNA from 1 species